UACGAAGGGGGCUAGCGUUGUUCGGAAUUACUGGGCGUAAAGCGCGCGUAGGCGGUGAUCUUUGUCAGAGGUGAAAGCCUGGGGCUCAACUCCAGAAUUGCCUUUGAAACGGGAUUGCUUGAGUCCGAGAGAGGAUGGCGGAAUUCCUGGUGUAGCGGUGAAAUGCGCAGAUAUCAGGAGGAACACCGGUGGCGAAGGCGGGUCUCUGGGCCGAUAUUGACGCUGAGGAGCGAAAGCGUGGGGAGCAAACAGG
rnacentral:rRNA from 1 species